ACAGCAUGAUGGAGACAUUUCCUGAUGAGGUCAUUUAAUCUUUCCCAUGACUCACGGAACUGCUCACCAUCUUGUUGUGAGAAGCUAGUGAGAGCUCUUCUUUUUU
rnacentral:snoRNA from 1 species